rnacentral:tRNA from 1 species
GGCUCUAUAACUCAGUUGGUAGAGCAAUGGACUGAAGCUCCGUGUGUCACUGGUUCGAUUCCUGCCGGAGCCA